CCAAUAGCGUAUAUUAAAGUUGUUGCAGUUAAAAAGCUCGUAGUUGAACUUCGGGGUCUACCCAUUGGUCAGGCUUAAUUGUCUGUACUGGUGAGAUGGAUCUCUACCUUCUGAGGAACUUUCAUGCCAUUUAUUUGGUGUGGUUGGAAAUCAGGACUGUUACUUUGAAAAAAUUAGAGUGUUUAAAGCAGACUAUCGUCUGAAUACAUUAGCAUGGAAUAAUGAAAUAGGACGGACUGAUUCUAUUUCGUUGGUUUCUAGGAUCACCGUAAUGAUUAAUAGGGAUAGUUGGGGGCAUUAGUAUUCAAUUGUCAGAGGUGAAAUUCUUGGAUUUAUUGAAGACUAACUACUGCGAAAGCAUUUGCCAAGGAUGUUUUCAUUAAUCAAGAACGAAAGUUAGGGGAUCGAAGACGAUCAGAUACCGUCGUAGUCUUAACCAUAAACUAUGCCGACUAGGAAUCAGACGAUGUUAAUUUUUUAAUUACUCGUUUGGCACCUUACG
rnacentral:rRNA from 1 species